GCAAACCUGGACGCGAGUUGGAAAGGGCGUUAGUGAAAACAUUCUACCCCUACCGUUUUUUUUUAUUGCUCAGCAACAUUCUUCCCCUGACGUUGAAAUCUGAUUUUUCAGAGAUAACAAAAAACACCAUGGUUAUUGACAAUGGAUCCGUAGAAAUGAUAAAAAUGUUAUUAGAACAAACCAAACCUGAUGGCAGCUAAUGAUGGGUCUGGAAAUUUUCACACCGUAGAAGAGUCUUUUGAUGCAUCAGCCAAUAGGAGAGAUGGAAAUGGGAGGUUCGGCUUGUACAUCGAGGAGGGGCUUUUUAUUAAUGGUCUAUCUACAUAUGUUGAUAUAAACAUAUAAGUUUAUAUCUGCCCGCAUUGAAUCAUGCUUUAGUAUCUGCAUGACUUACCAGUGGUCCUCAGAUAUGGAUUCAAGGCUACAGCUUUGAAAGAUACUAAAACACUCUAUGCCCCUUUAAGUGAUGGUGGAAAUAGAUAGUGUAUUCACUGUUGAAUUGAAUCACCUCCACAAACUCGCUGAAACAAUUACCUUGAUGUCGGUGACAAGGAUCUGGUGUUCAGAUGACUUUUCAAGAAUGGCUGGACCUCUGGAUCUUCUCGAAAGGAUUGGCCUCUUUGGAAUGGAAAACAAAAAAAUGUGAGGACAAGAUCACAAAGAAACAGAAGGCAUAAGGAAAGAGAAAAAGUAAGAC